rnacentral:tRNA from 1 species
AGGCGGCGUCGCCCAGGUUCAGCAGGUCCGUGAACUCCAGGUUGGCGAGCAGCGGUUCGUCGUCGUCGCCGCCCG